GUGCUCACUUUGGCAGCACACAUACUAAAAAUGGAAUUAAGCAGAGAAGAUUAGCAUGGCCGCUUUGCAAGAAUGAUAGCGUUCCAGAUUUUU
ensembl:snRNA U6 U6 spliceosomal RNA